UACGAAGGGUGCAAGCGUUGUCCGGAUUUAUUGGGUUUAAAGGGUGCGUAGGUGGCUUUUUAAGUCAUGGGUGAAAUCCCACAGCUCAACUGCGGAACUGCCUGAGAUACUGCCUAGCUUGAGUGCGGUUGAGGCAGCUGGACUUGGUGGUGUAGCGGUGAAAUGUAUAGAUACCAGCAGGAACACCGAUUGCGAAGGCAGGUUGCUAAGCCGUAACUGACGCUGAGUCACGAAAGCGUGGGGAUCUACCAGG
rnacentral:rRNA from 1 species